UCUAGCAAAGGGACAAUUACUAACUACUUAUUACCAGGAUCCUUGGACAGAUGGAUCUAUUGUCGACAUGACAAGGAUUCACCUCCUCUAGAUUGGAGCACACGGUGCAAGAUUAUCACUAACAUAGCGAAGGGUCUCGCUUAUCUUCAUGAGGAGUGCAUGAAAAAGAUUGCCCAUUUGGAUGUCAAACCACAAAACAUCCUCUUAGAUGAUGACUUCAAUGCUAAGCUUUCUGAUUUUGGACGAUGCAAGCUCAUUGACAGGGAUAUGAGUCAAGUGUUUAGCAGAAUGAGAGGCACACCUGGAUAUUUAGCUCCUGAAUGGUUGACAUCACAGAUCAUGGAAAAGGCCGAUGUCUAUAGCUUUGGUGUUGUGGUCAUGGUAGUCAUUAGCGGAAGAAAGAACCUCGACAAUUCUCGAUCCGAAGCGAGCAUCCAUCUCAUCACCCAAUUGGAGGAAAAGGUGAAGGCUAAUCGGUUGGUAGAAUUGAUUGACAAUAAGAGUAAUGAUAUUCUAGCACAUAAGCAGGAUGUAAUUGAGAUGAUGAAGCUCGCAAUGUGGUGUUUGCACAUUGAUUGCAAAAGAAGGCCUAAAAUGUCCGAGGUAGUCAAGGUCUUGGAAGGUGCCAUGAAUGCAGAGAGCAACAUUGAUCAUAACUUCGUUGCAACAAGUCAAGUGUAUUUUGGCGCUGCUGGAAAUGUGGGCUUAUCGGUUCCAUCUCUAGCUUCACAUGUAUCAGGUCCCAGGUGA
rnacentral:rRNA from 1 species